GACCACCAAAAAAUAAAUAAAAUACCAAAAAUAAAAGAUUUGUACACAUAUAAAUACAGAUUGUAUGUUCUUAGAAAAGCACAGGAAGUGUGGAGAAAUUGCUUUGACACAUGAAAAGGAAGCAAAACAACAACCCACAACACCAAACAGGAUAAGAGUUUUCGGAAGUGGAUUUUUCUGGUUACUGUCUUCGCCACGUAAUCACGAACGUGUCAAAGCGCGUGCUCAUCAUGCCUCCCUGUUUCGCCGGCGGCGUACGUUAGCCUUUUCCCCUCCCCCCUUCAAAACUCAUGUGACUCACUGUUGUCUAUAUAUAUACCUCUCCACCUUUGCUCCCUCUUUCUGAACCACUUUCUAGCUCCGUUAUCCUCCACCCCUUCCUUUAACCUGCGCACACCCCCUC
rnacentral:lncRNA from 1 species